rnacentral:rRNA from 1 species
GAUGAACGCUGGCGGCGUGCCUAAUACAUGCAAGUCGAGCGAACAGACGAGGAGCUUGCUCCUCUGACGUUAGCGGCGGACGGGCGAGUAACACGUGGAUAACCUACCUAUAAGACUGGGAUAACUUCGGGAAACCGGAGCUAAUACCGGAUAAUAUAUUGAACCGCAUGGUUCAAUAGUGAAAGACGGUUUUGCUGUCACUUAUAGAUGGAUCCGCGCAGCAUUAGCUAGUUGGUAAGGUAACGGCUUACCAAGGCAACGAUGCGUAGCCGACCUGAGAGGGUGAUCGGCCACACUGGAACUGAGACACGGUCCAGACUCCUACGGGAGGCAGCAGUAGGGAAUCUUCCGCAAUGGGCGAAAGCCUGACGGAGCAACGCCGCGUGAGUGAUGAAGGUCUUCGGAUCGUAAAACUCUGUUAUUAGGGAAGAACAAAUGUGUAAGUAACUAUGCACGUCUUGACGGUACCUAAUCAGAAAGCCACGGCUAACUACGUG